GCUGCAGGUCAGCUCACCAUGUGAAAUCCUCUGGCUGCUUCAAGCAUUCUACGUGUCUGCGUGUGCGAGCUCCCGCCCCUUCUCAAACAGCGAUUGCACAAGCUUUGGAGAAACACGGAUUUGAAUAACCUCCACUUGAAUUCUCUUAAAACACUGAAUGUGCUGCGUUGCUGGAAGUGUGUGCUGAAAAGAUCACAAGUGAUAAUUGUGUGAUCACCCCAUGACCACUGAUCUCUAGCAACACCUGGAAGAGCCAGAGAGAUGGAAUUGAGUCUGCCACCAGCAAUAUCUGCAUGUACCUAGAUCCUGGUUGUGUGCUUUCUCUUGUCCUUCGAAGUACAGUAGGCUGUAUCCGCUCCAGAGUUUGUUCAUGCCAACUGGGCACGUUGGCUCUUGAUCGGACUGGCUGUGCUUCACCAGCAGGUAGCCCAUGCUAACACUGCGACCCGGCAUGCCUGGCAGCCCGGGGCUACCGGGGCGGCCUGGCUGACCUUAGGAGAAGGGGGAAAAGAAAUAACACAACUCAGUUUGUGCUCUCACAAAUGCUCUGACGCUGGCUGAUAUUCACAGAAUCAGAGAAGGGCAGGGGUUGGAAGGGACCUCUGGAGAUCAUCUAGUCCAACCCCCCUGCUAGAGCAGGAUCACCCAGAGCAGGUUGCACAGGAUCACGUCCAGGCAGGUUUUGAAUAUCUCCAGAGAAGGAGACUCCACAACCUCUCUGGGCAGCCUGUUCCAGUGCUCUGUCGCCCUCACAGUGAAGAAGUAUUCCAGCUAAGCUGCUGAUGAACAAAGCUUAAUUGCAUAAUGCUUUUUAUGAUAAAUUAUUGUUGAAAGAGAUGUAGUUCUAGGAUUACAGCAGUUGCUUUUGAAGUAGAUUGGUGCCAGAUCAAGCUCCCUGGUUUCUAAAGUGAUGUAUUUCACUAUCAGUGCCCGGGAAAGGCCCGUAUAAAGUUCUGAUAAAUUUGAGCAUACUUCAUACAAUACAGGUGAGCAUAUUUUUCAUUUAAAACAUCUUCUUAGUCCAAGAUUAACCAAUGUUUUUUUAAUUGCUUGCAUUUGCUUCAUACUGCUAAAACUAUGCUCUAAAAAUACCUUUUCUCUGUGUACUCAGCUAAUUAAGAUAGUAAUCGUUCUCUUUGAUUGGAUAAGGACACAGGUAUUUCUUUUACAAAUUCUUUCCCUUAAACACCAUCUAUCCAAACAUCACCUACCCAACCAUUCAUUUCCACGAAUGUAACUGUUAGUAAGACACUAGGCUGAAAUACUUUAAGAGAAAACCAAUAUAAUAACACAGUCAGGUCAAAACAAACUCACUCACGUGAGUGGAUUGACAUCUACCAAAACUUAUUCUGAAAAUACUGCUUUAAGCUAACUCUGUUAAGAGUUAGUUAUGAGGAAGCUGUGAAGACAGACACUUUCUCUCCCCUCCUCCCUAUCCAGUGAUGUAGUAACUACAGAACAAUUUAUGACAGUGAAACGGGAAAGAGGGAAGAAGUGCGUGCAACAUCUCUUACCUUCAAAUCCCACCGGACCCUGAAACCCUGUUGCUCCUUGUUCACCUCUGGAGCCAGGAGGAGCUGGAAUGCCACCCCUGCCCUGGAGUCCUGGCUCUCCAGGUGAGCCUCUGAAACCUUGCACCAACAACGGUUAUAAGUACAGUGACUGCAGAGAUACCAACAUGCUACCUGCUUUGUUAACGUGUGCUCUACUUGCAUAUGUUUGGUCCUAUCUGCUAGGUUUACAAUUUACACUACAGGCAAGAUUCUACAGUUCUUGCUCAGGCAAAGAGCACUGACUUCUUUGGAACAUGCUGCUGGGAUGAAGACUACAUGAGCCCCACAACCUUAAUCUUUCACUCUUGCUACCACCACGCAUCUCUGAUGAGGCUUGUAGCAAGAGGUGCACCGCAUCAGGUCCAUGCAUCACUAACACUACAGUCCCUGGGCUGAAAGCAUGUCCACAAGGAUGUGCACAUUUCCACCAAAAACGUUCAGCCUUGAUUUAAGUGAGAUCCAUAUCUGUGUUGCUUUGGGUGUGUCAGUGUUGUCAGUUUUCUCCUGUUUUGCUUAUGUUCUGAAUCCUAGGAGGAGGAGGAAAGCCAAGCCUGGCUUUGGAAGGCCAAAAUUUAACUCUCCUUUCUGACUUACAGAAUUCAAAGUAGAAGAGAGCCAAAGCAGUGCUCUGGUGGUUUCACUCUGCUAAGGGGAACUGAGCUUUCACUCUGAGUGUGAGAUUCCUACCUGGAUCGCCUGGUGGACCCUGAAGUCCCAUAUCUCCUGGGCUUCCUUGAGGUCCUAUAUUUCCACGAGGACCUGGUGAACCUGGCUCAGCAACCAGCCUUGGAGGAAGAGGGGACAGCCCAGGAGAGCCUGGAGGGCCCUGAAAGCCUGUGAUUGGAAGCAAGAUGAAUCAUGUUCUGGAGGUUUUUCUAUAAAGAACUGAAUACUAGUUCUGUGCCAAAGCUCUCUGGAUAGCUAAUUACAUCUCACAGUAUGGAAUGCUAAUCAUCUUGAGUCUGCCAGCUGUCAUGAAAAAUGAAAACAUUUCCUGAAAACUGCUUUCCUGGUUGAGAGGGAGGUCAUCAGCAGUUAAAGUGAGCUCAGUAGACACCUGUCCUUCAGAAUCCAUAAAUCAGAAAGCGACCACGUUGGUCUUCAUUAAUGCACCUGAACUUUAUGAGGAACGAAUGUUUAUUAGAGGGAACUGCCAGUCUGAACUGAAAAAAGCCCCCUUUAUUCUGCUUCACCCCAAAGGAACAAUAGCAAGCGCUCACAUCGAAAUGAGUGAAUAGACGAAGCUCUAUGAGUACCUGCUUGUCCUGGUAAGCCAGCCCAGCCGCGAGUUCCCUUUUCACCUUGAAAUCCAGGAGUCCCGGGGCUUCCUUGCUGCCCUGGGGGGCCGACCAGUCCCGGCAAACCUAGGUGACAAUGAUGAAUCAUUGCUCACGCGUGUCCUUAAAGCUGAUAUAGCCAAAACCACUGACUUGUGCUACCUUAAUCCGCCAAGGUAGCAAAAUGAAAGCUUCCUCCCAGUAAUGUCAUUGUAUGACGCUGCACUGCUCAUCCAGGUGGAAGAAAAUUAAAGAGAGAAAAGGUAGGAGAGGCAAGGUAUAACAGAACAAUUAAUUACAAACUUCAGGUUUCUGACAACCUCAAAAAUAUAGUGGGCUGCUCCUAUUAAAAUGAUAAUUUUAUUUCUACUGCCAGUUACAAUAAGUAAGUUCAUUUAUGUGCACCUCAGUUUCCCCUUCUGCUGCAUCUGUUUUUUCUUUCCAACUGGAAAGCUGUUCGGACAAGGGUGUUUCCCAGUGAGGUAUCUAUCAAAACUGCUCCAGUCUUGGCUGGAGUUCCUAAGCCCCAUAGUUAUAUGAGAAAUGUGGAGCAACUGUUCCAAAAGAGCAUUUUUGUGAUCCUCCUGCAAUAAGACAUGUUCUUAAGCCCUGAGUUUAUGAUCCAGCCAGAGUAAACCUGACUUUGGUUCCCUGGUACUCUUGUACUGUAGCCUGGCUCAAAGGCUCCGUAACUGGGUCCUGGGGGAUAUUGAUUUCAUUUAUGGCAAAAAAGAGCAUUGAAAAGCUCACAACCUUGUAGCACUGAGACACCAUAAAAAAGGAAAAACUGGUAUGAAGCAGAGUUAGGCUUUUGAAAUUUCCCCUUGGUAAGUUCUACCACAAGUUCCACAUCCUUUUAACUGUGCUUUACCAAUUGACAGAUUGAUCAACAUAUGAAAAAACUUAAUGACUUCCUUUUGAAGGAAAAGAGAUUUUAUCUUUCUCUUCUUAAGCAGUUUUAUUCUUUGGAGCCUUAUAAAGAAAGAAUAUUUUACCUUUCUGUCCCACAGAGCCAGGGACACCCUGUGUGCCCUUGAGGCCUUCAAUGCCAGGGAAACCAGGAUCACCGCCUUCGCCUUUUUGUCCUAUGCCUCCUCUUGUGCCUGGAAAACCACAAACCCAGUAUAUUCUUUUAAUAAUCUCUAUAAGACCCUAAGCUAACAAGCAUAAUGUGAAGUUGGCUACUGAGUGGGUGCUGGUCUUGCCACAUAAUCCAGGAGAAUGAAAAGUUGUCUACAGCAUGCUGUUUUUUUAAAAGUACUCCCCAAAUUAUGUAGAAUAUGACAUCGAUGUUCAAGUGUGCUGCAUAUGCAGGGAUAGCUCCAAUUGUAAUACAUUACUUUUAACCAACCCAAUCCAAAAUUGACCUGAUUCUGCUAUCCCAUCUUCCAUAAUUAUGGCCUGAUAUUGCUCCUUUGUUAUUAAAACCCCAUGGUAAGCUUCCCCUCCUUUCCUCUGUGGACUUUAGUACGUGAGAAGUAAUACAUCCAGAGCAACUAUGAAAUUAAUACCUGUUAAGCCUGGCACACCAAGUUCCCCUUUAAGGCCUGGCAUUCCUGGUAAGUU